CUAACGGUUGCCUAAUGUAUGGCGGAUCAUAGAGUAGGCUUUAUUGUGCAGAAUAGUGUAGAAGUGAAAAACUUUCCUCACAAAUGGUGAGGGGCAUGGCUAUUUCGUUAUUCAUUUGGGAUAACACCAAGAAUAUUUGGCAGUGAGAUCCGCGUGUACAACUACACUCUCGAGCAUGAUUUGACGGAAAACCUGUUCUUCAACGACCAGCUGACCAACGGGCCGAGGAACAAAGUUAAUGGACCGUCGAAGCACCGGACAGGUCAAUCCUGCUAGUCAGGACAUCUUUUCAAAGGAAGGGGACAACGCCAAUCCACAAAAGCAUGACCUGUUGCCACUUCUAAUGAUGAUACAUUAAAUCCAUGGAUCCAUAGAUUCAACUCGUACCUGGAUGGAGCGCAACGCCUGGGGCUGACCACAAUAUGACUGUGAAGUCUACUAAAACAUGCCUUGCUUCCCGCGCUGUAUCCGCAUGAACGGUUGUGAUUUACUAUCGGUUUGGAUCCGAGGAAGUUGCGGUAUCAUCGGUCAAGGGAUUUACGUGCAUAUAGAUGUGGAUCGGAUUGUGAAGCAGGUUUUACGCAAAGCUGGAUGAUAACGGAUCAGUAAAAAAAAUAUUUACCAAAUUGUCUAACUAGUUGCAGCUGCUGUAUCUUUACAAUAUUGAGAUGUCCAAACGUUUUGUCUUGCAGUGACUUUAGACUGUGUUACAGCUACAUUUACAAGUCACUAUAAUUUAAAUACCAUAAGAUUUAAACUAUUUAACAGUUGUUAAAUUCAUCAGAAGCACAAUUUAUGUUAUUUAAUAUCACGCAAUACAUCAAUCUUCUCUUUGACAACGUUAUGCCAA